rnacentral:rRNA from 1 species
GACGAACGCUGGCGGCGUGCUUAACACAUGCAAGUCAAACGGAAAGGCCCUGCUUUUGUGGGGUGCUCGAGUGGCGAACGGGUGAGUAACACGUGAGUAACCUGCCCUUGACUUUGGGAUAACUUCAGGAAACUGGGGCUAAUACCGGAUAGGAGCUCCUGCUGCAUGGUGGGGGUUGGAAAGUUUCGGCGGUUGGGGAUGGACUCGCGGCUUAUCAGCUUGUUGGUGGGGUAGUGGCUUACCAAGGCUUUGACGGGUAGCCGGCCUGAGAGGGUGACCGGCCACAUUGGGACUGAGAUACGGCCCAGACUCCUACGGGAGGCAGCAGUGGGGAAUAUUACACAAUGGGCGGAAGCCUGAUGCAGCAACGCCGCGUGCGGGAUGACGGCCUUCGGGUUGUAAACCGCUUUCGCCUGUGACGAAGCGUGAGUGACGGUAAUGGGUAAAGAAGCACCGGCUAACUACGUG